CUGCCCCGGCCCCGGAGUCUCCGGUUUCCCCUGGAGGAGUGGGGGAGGGAAGGUAGGGAGCGAGGGCGCGCGGGCACGCGAGCCCGGGCCCGCCCCGCCCCGCCCAGGCAGCUCCCGGGGGCUGACCGCCCCGGCCCGGCUGGGCUCGGCCCGGCGUGCGCCCGGCUGGCGCUUUACUGCUCGCCAGCCCCGGGGUCAAGAGGAGGGAGGGAAUGUCUGCCACAGCAGCGCCGUCUACAAGAGGCGAGAUGAGCACACUCUCCUGUGUACACACUGCAAGGUGACAGAGGAUCGCCUCCCACACAGGGAUUUUCCAAAGGACUGGCGGAGGGAGCACAGUAAACAAGAGAGAUGCUUUCCGCCAGGAGAAGUUUGUCUAGGGAAGAGCCCCCAACCACUCUGCGGAUCGAGGGGUUUUUAAAUCUGUGUCUUCACUCCAAUCAGCAGCCUCCCACCGAACUGGAGCGGAGCGUGUCCAAAAGGCGUUUCCGUAAAACAGAAACUUGACAUCUCUACUGGAUGUAUACAUAUAUGUCCUAUGUUAUAUAAUCGAUGUUAAAGAUGCAUGCGGAGCCUCGGUUCACACAGGGGCACCCAGUGACCCACGCGCCUCAUGCAGCCAGGCGUCUCCUGCGCCCGGGAGACCCGGGACCUCGGCCAUGGGCUCGCUGCUGCCCGCGAUCCACCGCUCCAUUCGCGCCCCAGACAGUGAAUACCGACAUGAACGCACACCGGGGAGACGCGCAGGGCUCCCGGGAACAGUAGCACGCGAAAGCAUCACCUACCAGUUUUCCUGCAUCCAUUGGAUGGCUUCAUUCUCGUUGAACUGCUUUUCGAAUUCAUAUUCUUGUAAAGUCAACACUGACAUGUUCAUCGGGGCUGAUCUUCGGAGUCGCUACGUGUUCUCUACACAAAAUAAAAUAAUCUGUAAAGCGCUUGA